UGCUCUGUGGAGCUGAGGAGCAGAUUCUCUCUCUCUCCUCCCGGCUUCACCUCCUGAG
ensembl:miRNA MIR4279 microRNA 4279